AUGUCAGGUACAACAGAGACAGCUGUUUGUCCCCCAGUAUCCUUCAGACAAAGCCAUAUAUGAUUGAAGGUUAUCAGUACUGUGCUUUUGGAGGAUUCAGAAGAAGUUAUAUCUGAUUGGGAGAUUGAAAAGGAUUGGCCUGAAGGAGAGGUGGUUUUUGAACUGCAUCUUAAAGGAUGAGGAAACUGAGGCUGAGAGGGUAGAGAACUUUGCCUGAGGUCACUCAGCAGGGACCCACCCAUCACAGUAAAUGCCAGCACUGCUGAUGCCAAAACAAUGUUAUUUGUAGGCCCUCGGAAUUUGUGACCUGAAGGAAGAAGAGCAGGGCCGUGGGAAGUAUGUAACCAGUGUCAUGCCCCUGGUCCCAAGGAAGCAGUGGCUUGGUAAAGAGGGGACCCCCGUCAAUAACUCCCUGUAAUUACUGGGCACCCACUCUGAGCUCCUCAGUGGAAUCCUAAGGUUAAUAAGACUGUCUCUAGCCACUGGGGCUCCCAGCCUGGAGUGAGGAUUGCAGAGUUCAGCUGGCCAUCAUCCACCAGCCGGGGGACUGUGCACAUCAGUUAACCUCUCCUCUCAGGCCUUGAAAAGCACCAGGCUUAGUACACGUUUGUUAAAUGAAUGCACUGCAGUUUUUUUGCUUGUUAAAGGCAGGUAAUAAUAAUGAUAUUGCUGACUAAGGGCUCCCAUCCACUCCCAGUGAGCCCGGUGCCCCCCCGGGCCUCCUCAGUGAGCUGAGGAGGCUCAGCAGUGCCUGCACGUCCCCUCGCCACAAUGUCAUGUGCCACCUCUUCAAAGGAGGGAUGUACCAGCUAGUGGACGUGACCUUGACUGCAAAGGGCGGCACGCAGCUGAUGUAAUGGUCGCUUAAGUGUUCACAAAUGCCUGAACACCCUGUCCUACCUGGUCCUACCUGGAUGCUGGCCUCAGUAAGCUCCUGGGCUCAUUGAAGAUGAACCUAGCAGUAGUAUUUACACCACUUGUUGUGUGCCCACUGUGGGCCCGGCGCCAUGCCGAGUGCUCUAUGGAUGUGAGAGAAACGGAGGCCCAGAAAGCAGAAAUGAUGUGUUAAGAUCACUCAUCAAGCUGAUGGUACAGAGUGCUGGGAGAGAAAAGCAUACGACAUAGACAGGGAGGUCAAGCUCCACCACGCAGAUGAGGUGCAGGCCACCAGUCUUCCUCUGCCACAUCUCUUUCUGAAAAGGACUUCACAUUCACCCUUGCAAUCCAUGUGGGGACACUGUUGGAUAGGAGGCGUGGUCCCAGCGUGGUCUCCCUGUCUGGGCCUCUGCCUAUGCCAAAUGUUUGCCUUACGCUGCACACUCAAGAGGUUCCAUGUAUACAGAUGGGAAUUCCAGAGCUACAGAAAAGGCAGCAAGCACCAUGAUUUAAGCUAACCAGUGUGGAUUCACACCUUCCUCUCUCUCUAUCAGUGGCAGAACUACCAGCUAGAGUAAGAAGUGGUUGAUCCAGGACCUAAACAUUCUGGAAACUCUUGCCCACUUCUGGGAGAAAUGACCCAAUCCAUAGUACUAAGCACACCUUAACUUUCGUAGGACGCAGGCAAGUUGUCAUACCGUGUGCCUAAAUAUAGAAAAAUGAUCCACUGGACUAAUAAAGUGUUAAAUAAAAUAUGUCCUGACUGUC
ensembl:lncRNA LINC02395 long intergenic non-protein coding RNA 2395